AUAUAAAUAUAUCAAGCUUCUCUUGUUGAGUGGUUUGGAUGUGGGGGUUUUCUGCUGGGCCCUCUUAAAAAAGGGUUCAGCUCCCCUGAAAUGCAUUAGCAGAACAACCCUGUUCAUUGGUGUGAUAACUAUCUAUGCUAUUGAAUGUGAGGGGGGCAGUUCAGCUUUCUAACAGUCCUUGGGACAAUUCAUCAUUA
rnacentral:misc_RNA from 1 species